rnacentral:lncRNA from 1 species
GUUCUGGGGAAGAUUUGGUUGCUUACUGCCCUGUUCAGGUAUGUGCAUCCAAGUGAGCUAUGUGUGAAACGGAGGAAGAUGGAGCAAUGAACGCUUCCCUUGGAGUGAGUCAGUUUAACUCCCACUGAAAUAUGUCAAGGGAAAGACGAGAAAACUGAGUUCAGAUCAACCAAGCCUAGUGUUUCCCACCAAGUGGGUCAAGAGAGAUCAACUAUUGGGUUGUGGCUAAUUCCUUUUUGGUUGCUUCUUGAGUCCGAGUCCUGUUUAGAAAGAGCCAACUUGUUUUGUUGACUUUGUGGAUCACAAGAACUAUCCCAAAGCUUCGGUACAAUAAAUACAUGAUGAGCACUCAACACACUGCGCCUUGGUCUACUCCCUGCAACAGCCGUUACACCUUCCCUACAUGUGAUGACCACUCCACUCCACUACCAUUGUCAACUUUCUCCUGACAUGAACUGAAGCCAUGUCUCAUGUGCCCGCUCAUCCACUGGCACAUUGAAUGUUUCCCCUCCAAGCACUUCAAAUCCUGUCCUGCACUUGUCAAGCCUCUGAACUCCUCAACUCAUGCCUCAUACCCUCAUUCAAUCACUGCUGUGAUCCCUUUACAGCACGGUCAUUUCAUUUCACCAAGCCUCCUUCCAACCUGGACUCAGGUACUGUUUUAAUCAUUUAUUCUAGUUCAUAAACAGUAUAACACAAUAAGUCUGACUUAUAGCUUGAAUAAUACAUUCAUGUGAAAAAGGAAAAGCACAUCCUAACACCAGUCCAACUGUUG